GAUGUUAUGUCUGAUAAAAGUGAUAAAUUGUAAGUUUAUUUAUAAAAAUAAUUUUUUUAACAUUA
rnacentral:tRNA from 1 species